ACGGAUCGAUCCGCCCAUUGACCCGCGCCCCGACCCGCCGACCCACGCCCAUCUCCAACCAAUUUCUCCCCUUCUCUUUUCUCUCCAUCACUCUCCUUCUCUCACUCUCUAAUCUUCACAGUGUCACUCCCUCACCUCUCGGCCUCUCUUCUCCUCGCAGCCAGAAUCGAUGCCGCCCUCCCUUCUUCGGCCGACGAAGAAGGUGAUUAAUUUUGGAGAGAGAGGGAGGAAAGGGAGCGAUGGGGAGAGAGAAGGUGAUUAAUUUUGCAGUCGCUAUCUUUCAGAUGGGAUUCAGAUGAAGUCACAAGAAAUGGAGUCGGGGUUGGAGUUGGUAAAAUUGAAGAAGAAAUAUAAUGUUUCAAAAUUAUCACAUUUGUUCACGAUAAUAAUAAUUAUUAUUAUUUUUAAGAACUUUCACUUUUAGUU